rnacentral:lncRNA from 1 species
CGUACUGUCACGGGGUUAGCUUUUCCGCCUCAAAAAUCCCCGCGCGGCGCUCAAGUGUCGCACACCCGAGCCAGCCUUCUCGAGUCCCUUACACGGACAAGUCUCCCCGACUUAACAGCGGAAUACCAAUCCAAGCAUUUUGCCAAGCUUGCUCCUCCUCGAGACUUAUAGCCCGACCCUCGCCUGUAAUCGAACCCCUCGUCGGACUCCUCGAGUUCCCAACGAGCAACCCCAAUAUCGAGGUUGGCCACCAAGCUAGGUGCAUCCUGUUUUGUCAACCAAACCCUCCUCGAGAGUGCUCUGUAGCUGAAUGCCUUGUUGCCUUCCUCGCCAGCCCAAGGACAUUACAAGUUCUCCCCCAACUUGUACAAUAUGAGUAUAGCCGAGCGUCUCGCCUCCCACGCGUCUCGCUCCCGCGACUCAACCCGCACGCCUCUAGCGUCGAGGUCCGGGCUUCGCGACAUCGCAUGCCACGAAGGGCACUCAUAACCAUAAGUUCCACCAUCGUGUCUCCCGCGCCUGACAACACCCAUGGCCAUACCGCCUACGCGGCCUGCUCGCUCGGUCCAACGGCUUACCUCCGAAAAGCCACCCAAGUGUGCGCCACAAGCUUGCUUGCCCCAACAUCAGCACCUCAGCGUGACACCACGCACGUCCGUGCUUCGCACCUCCGUGCUUCGCAUUCGACCCGUGCGGCCCUCGUGUCCCAUCGCUCCUGAAUAGGGAACCAACAAGUCCACACCGUGCUUCUCGACCGUCUCAUCGACCCUCGCUUUGCCACGGCGCUCCGCGCCCUUGACUCCCAUAGGUUCGCCUCAUAAGGCCCCAUACAAACGAACCGGCCUCGCUCCGCAUCGCUAGCCACUGGCCCCUCCUUGGCUCGACCACGCCUGGCCGCUUACCCCAUUGGUCCAGUCUCUCAAGGUUCACUAUACGGAUACCGAUACCGCUUGCCUCCUUGGGUUCCGCCCCUCGAGUCUCGUAGGCCACCCGCCUUACGAAUUCUCCCUCGGCAUGCCUCCCUUUAGCGUCCCUAUCGAGUCUCGCCUCCUUGGCCUUCGUGGGCGCCGCGCCCCACGAAUCCCCGCUCGGCACCCUUGCCUUCGCGAGCCUUGUCCUUUACGGAGGACCAUCCGUCGCUAGACUAUCCCUCAUCCGCUCGUACGCUCCACUACAGAGAUCCAAGCCGGCAUAAGGUAGCGCAAGCGAUCCUAGGGAGGAAGCCUCCCGGUAUUCCCCGCUUCCGUAAUGUCGUCGACCUCUCGCGUCUCCGACAUUACCCUAGGCCCGUGUCCCUUCAACCGUCCAUUAACCGGCUACACGGAACGCUAGGCUUGGCUACUCCGCUAGCCAAGGGACGACCCAUAUCCUAUGGGUCGACGGGGGAGUCGGGGCCACUUACGAAGUGUCCACCCCUCCUCUAAUACCCUUACGAGGCAUCCACUCCUUUGGCACCCCGGGGGUACAAAGGUGCUCACCGAGGGGUACGUUUUCAAGCCCCGCAUGCGGCACCUAUUUCCAAGUCAUGGCAUGGGCCAUUGCUAGGGAAUUGCCUCCGUUGACUUGACAGCGACUCCUACCUGACGGAACGCCUCAACUCCGCAACUCCAUAACUUCGUCAACCCAAAUGCCUACCAAGUAUGGCCCACAAAGGUGUCACGGUCGAGACCCAACGAUCGACCCGUGACAGUACGGCACGAGCGGCAUUUUGAACCUUGAUAAUAAUAUUAUAAUACUAAUCCAAGUGUCGAAACGCAAAAAAUCGCGCCUGCGGUGUUUCGAUCGGCUCGUCAAAUGGCACCAAAUCCCUUUCCUCUUCUUCUUCUUCUCUUUUUCCCCUUUCUCUUCUUUCCUUUUCUCUCUAUACGUACAGGUUGAAGGUGGAGGGAAGCUUCAAGAGGCUUCCCUGGCAACUUAGUGGAAUUCCACUACGGUAACAAUAUGCCAAUAAGUCCAUAAGCCAUCAAUAUUCUCAAUUUGCUCUAAUUUCAAUUUGAUACUUUUAAUUGCAGCCCUUCUGAAUGUCCGUUUGCGGUACAACUCUUGUGGGUACUCAUGCCAUACUCGUGCCCUCUCCGCAAACAACUUUUGUCACCCCAAUGCCUCCACAAUCGCACAACGUCGAGCUCUCCCCAUGGUCUCCCCAAGCUUUCAAGCCUUUCGUCGGGACUAGCCGGCCUCGACUACUUCCUGCUCUACUGACUUCCCCACGGACUCUUGUCAUGCCUCCUGACUGCUUUGCAUUUCGACUACUUGUUGAUGCACGGCACCUUUAGCCUUUAUCCCACAAGCCUGCUCAAGCCCUACUUCGUUAGGCUCUCGCAGAACUCCACUUCGAUUCGCAAUCAAAGUGUUCGGCCAAGUUCGAGCCAAUCGGACACCUUGUCUCUUUUCGCUCGCAACUUGCCAUAUCCCAACUCUAGGGACACCACCCUCAUGAUUGAACGCUGAACGGAACUCAGUUCACUCUCUGCUUAGUCUGAACCGCAAGUCUGGUUGCCACGGCAAUGCCGCUACCCUGCGCGCACCGCCCUUACAGAACUUCGAUACCUCGACCCUUCCCGCAGCUGCGAACUGUCCAAACUCCAGCCAGCACCAUGAUCCUGGGUGAAUCCACACACCACUCAACCCGACUAAGGAUGUCUCAUCCGUCCAACUCGUGGGCACAUUGUAAAGAGCAACCGAUCUCCACACCGGCCUUCUCGCACCAAGAGAAGUACUAAGCUCUCUCGCAAUCCUAGGUCCCCUUCACAACCUAGUCCAACGCCUAGCUGUUACUACCAUGGAUUCGUCGGCCUAGACUUCCAACUUGAGCUCCACGAAGCAAACUCUUUUACCACAUGUGUUGUAUCCCACUUCCUGUCAUAGACGAGCUCCUUCACCGAGUCUUUGCGCAUGGGAGCACUUAAUGAACAAACGUGCUCCCCCACUCUGAGUCGCUCCACCACCAAGCGCACUCAGAUCUCCCCGGCAUUCUCAAUGCCCCACAUUCCGCUCUGCUAGCUCCGGCUCUGCCACAACCUUCACUAUUCCCUCAAGCGGAACCCAUGUCAUCCAUCCAAUGGAUACAUGUAUGCUACCUCGAGUCACCAACGCUGUCACCGUUCUGCUCGAAGCUAGCCUUACCACCUCACUCCGCGAGUUAAGGUUUCAACCUCAAUCCAUUCUCUCGCACAAGGAUGCCUUCUCAUUCCAUAUCAUGGGCACACUCCAAAGAGUCAUCGAUCUCCCCAUCGAUCUUCCUUUUACCAAGAGAGAAGUACUGGUUCAUCGAGUAGCCCUUUGGUAAUCCCGCAACUUUGGUCGAAGCUGCUCCCAACGAAGACUACUGCCCGUCAGACUUCAAACUCAGCUUUCACGAAGUAAACUCUUUCGCCCAGUGUUUCACCGCCCAAUCCAUAUCCUUUCGAGAAGCACCAUCGUCGAGGAUUCACAUUUGGGAAUACAUCUCCACCUUAUGUACUCCCCCACCCUGAGUCGUAAGCACCUCUGUACAACUCAGUAUCCUUGGGCAUUCGCAAUACCCAACUCCGCGGCAACCCAACCACGGACCGCAAACUGAUUCUUCCUAAUCAUUGCCCCAUCGUCUGCCACACGACUAAGGCCUUAACCAUUUCUCCAUCCUGAGAAUGACUUGGAAAUCCUCACAGGGUACCGACAUGAACUUGGCUUUCGUCCCACCACGAGUCCACACCAACAAGCACCUCCCUCGCAAGACCCGCAAUCGGCUGGGCCUCCGAGCUCCUCGCUGUUAUCUGACUCUCAUCCAUGCGUGGUGCAAGUCCGAACCGCCCGGCUUCACUCACCGCAAAGAAUUCGUGGGUAGUACCAAUAUCCAUCGCAACUUAACUCCGCAUCUCUCACAAGCGAAGUAUUGUCCCAAUGCAUUGUCGGCUCCAAGUCCUUUCGUCAGAGUGACUCUGCUCACUCCAACUUCGCCGCCAAGGUCGCACCUUUCGGCCAAACUUCCAUCCCAAAUGAGCUCAACCUGGCUCUGAUACCACUUGUCACGGGGUUAGCUUUUCCGCCUCAAAAAUCCCCGCGCGGCGCUCAAGUGUCGCACACCCGAGCCAGCCUUCUCGAGUCCCUUACACGGACAAGUCUCCCCGACUUAACAGCGGAAUACCAAUCCAAGCAUUUUGCCAAGCUUGCUCCUCCUCGAGACUUAUAGCCCGACCCUCGCCUGUAAUCGAACCCCUCGUCGGACUCCUCGAGUUCCCAACGAGCAACCCCAAUAUCGAGGUUGGCCACCAAGCUAGGUGCAUCCUGUUUUGUCAACCAAACCCUCCUCGAGAGUGCUCUGUAGCCGAAUGCCUUGUUGCCUUCCUCGCCAGCCCAAGGACAUUACAAGUUCUCCCCCAACUUGUACAAUAUGAGUAUAGCCGAGCGUCUCGCCUCCCACGCGUCUCGCUCCCGCGACUCAACCCGCACGCCUCUAGCGUCGAGGUCCGGGCUUCGCGACAUCGCAUGCCACGAAGGGCACUCAUAACCAUAAGUUCCACCAUCGUGUCUCCCGCGCCUGACAACGCCCAUGGCCAUACCGCCUACGCGGCCUGCUCGCUCGGUCCAACGGCUUACCUCCGAAAAGCCACCCAAGUGUGCGCCACAAGCUUGCUUGCCCCAACAUCAGCACCUCAGCGUGACACCACGCACGUCCGUGCUUCGCACCUCCGUG